rnacentral:rRNA from 1 species
GAUGAACGCUGGCGGCGUGCUUAACACAUGCAAGUCGAACGAAGCACCUUAUUCUGAUUUCUUCGGAAUGAAAAAUUUGGUGACUGAGUGGCGGACGGGUGAGUAACGCGUGGGUAACCUGCCUCAUACAGGGGGAUAACAGUUAGAAAUGACUGCUAAUACCGCAUAAGACCACAGCACCGCAUGGUGCAGGAGUAAAAACUCCGGUGGUAUGAGAUGGACCCGCGUCUGAUUAGGUAGUUGGUGGGGUAACGGCCUACCAAGCCGACGAUCAGUAGCCGACCUGAGAGGGUGACCGGCCACAGUGGGACUGAGACACGGCCCAAACUCCGACGGGAGGCAGCAGUGGGGAAUAUUGCACAAUGGGGGAAACCCUGAUGCAGCGACGCCGCGUGAGCGAUGAAGUAUUUCGGUAUGUAAAGCUCUAUCAGCAGGGAAGAAAAUGACGGUACCUGACUAAGAAGCACCGGCUAAAUACGUGCCAGCAGCUGCGGUAA